GUAGGUGGCAAGCGUUGUCCGGGAAUUAUUGGGGCGUAAAGCGCGCGCAGGCGGUUCUUUUAAGUCUGAUGUGAAAGCCCACGGGCUCAACCGUGGAGGGUCAUUGGAAACUGGAGAACUUGAGUACAGAAGAGGAAAGCGGAAUUCCACGUGUAGCGGUGAAAUGCGUAGAGAUGUGGAGGAACACCAGUGGCGAAGGCGGCUUUCUGGUCUGUAACUGACGCUGAGGCGCGAAAGCGUGGGGAGCAAACAGGAUUAGAUACCCUGGUAGUCCACGCCGUAAACGAUGAGUGCUAAGUGUUAGGGGGUUUCCGCCCCUUAGUGCUGCAGCUAACGCAUUAAGCACUCCGCCUGGGGAGUACGGCCGCAAAGGCUGA
rnacentral:rRNA from 1 species